UCUGCCCAAUUCGGUCAUUCAAUUAGUUGUUCCGAUGGACACUUGUUCAACUUGCUGCUGAGGGGCUAAAGUAAACUUUUACUUGGUAUACUGACUCUUGGAUGAAUUACCCACAUCCAAUUGCCACGAACCCAAGGACAAGA
rnacentral:snoRNA from 1 species